CCUCCGUGUUAAAAAAAAUCUUAUGUCCAGUUUUAAUCAUCUGUUUUAAUUGUUUUAAAAAAAUUAUAGAACAUAAAUCACGCAUAAAGUAUUAUUCAUAUUUAUAAUCUAACAAUAAUAAAAUAUUAAUCAUUAAAAAAAUUCAUAUAAGACGGACGAUCAAAAUUGGACACGGAAACUUAUAGAUGCGUUUAGU
rfam:Oryza nivara chromosome 8, whole genome shotgun sequence.